AGUGAACGCUGGCGGCGUGCCUAAUACAUGCAAGUCGAACGGAGUGGCGCACGGUUGCUUAAUAUUUAGCUAAUCUGCCCCUUGCUGGCGGACAACAGUUAGAAAUGCCUGCUAAUACUCCAUAGCCAGUGAUGAGACUAUAUCGUAUCAGCUAGUCGGUGGGGUAACGGCCUACCGAGGCUAUGACGCGUAACUGGUCUGAGAGGAUGAUCAGUCACAUUGGAAGUGAGACACGGGCCAAACUCCUACGGGAGGCAGCAGUAGGGAAGAUUGCGCAAGGGGGGAAACCCUGAAGCAGCAACGCCGCGUGGAGGAUGACACUUUUAGGAGCGUAAACUCCUUUUGUUAGGGAAGCGGUACCUAACGAAGAAGCACCGGCUAACUCCGUGCCAGCAGCCGCGGUAAUUC
rnacentral:rRNA from 1 species